GUGCCAGCAGCCGCGGUAAUACAGAGACUGCAAGCGUUAUUCGGAUUCACUGGGCGUAAAGGGUGCGCAGGCGGCCGGGUGUGUCAGAUGUGAAAUCCCGAGGCUUAACCUCGGAACUGCGUCUGAAACUACUCGGCUAGAGUAUUGGAGAGGGUAACGGAAUUCACGGUGUAGCAGUGAAAUGCGUAGAUAUCGUGAGGAACACCAGAGGCGAAGGCGGUUACCUGGACAAUUACUGACGCUCAGGCACGAAAGCAUGGGGAGCAAAAGGGAUUAGAUACCCUGGUAGUCC
rnacentral:rRNA from 1 species